CUGAGGCAGAGAGAAACUGCCAGCCACCACCAUGACAAGCUGCAUGUGAAGACACCGGAAGCCAGUGCAUCCUGUCUUUGCUUUUUGAGCACUCACGUAGUUGGCAUGCAGCACGGUGAAGAACUCUGGAUUGGUGAUGAACUUGACUGCUGGGGACUGUAGCAGCAAGAGAAAAGAACCGCACUAGUACACUACCCUUGAACACGACAUGAAGAUCAGGUUGAAAGUACCUGCAUGGAUGGAGGAUGUGAUCUCAAAUCGGAAUUGCAGCUGUCCACUCACAUGAUCAGUUGGAAGCCUGCGGCCAAGUGUGUAGCUGACCACCCUAUCCCUAGAAGGAAAUAAGCACCAUCACAGAUUUUGUAAUGAACUAUCCUGCUAAAGACCACAGUGUGCUUUCUAAACCAGCUGGUGGGACAGGCAAGCUCAGAGAAACCACUGUAACAGGAAGUGAAGGUCUCUCUGGGGACAUACGGUACCACCUUAAGGUACAUAUGUUGGGUCAAGUACAAGGAAAUUCUUAUCAAAUAUUCUAACUCAAGGGUCAGGAAACGACACCUCAUAUCUAGUCAUCACUUUUUUUAUUUUGGUAUGGCCAUGAGCUUUAUUUUUAAAUAUUUUUGGGAAAACUCUUAAAGAAAAGUAAAUUACGUGAAAUUCUAAUUUAAGUGUCCAUCAACACUCAUGAGCUUACACAUUGCCUAUGGCUAUUUUCUGUCAUAGUGGAAGAGCUGAACAGCUUAGACAGAGACUGUGUGACCUGUAAAUCUUAAACUAUUACUCCCUUCACAGACUAAGUUUGAUAAUAUGUGUUAUAUAGAAGGCGAAGGGACAAAAAUUGUAAAUGUCUUUGCUUGAUCUUCCUGUGGACAUUGUCAUUUCCAAAUAUGCCCCUGGCAAUGGAUAUGCCAAAAUAUGUUGGGAGGAAUAUAUGUAAUGUAUAAAAAUAGAUGCCAUGAUAGUUACUAGAGAACCUGUGCUGAGCUAUGGAAAGCUACAGGAUGGAGCAAAAACAAGACGUGUUCACUGACCUUGAUUUCCAGAUGCACCAAGAAUAGAGACACUUAUUGACUAUCUGGACUCUGGUGCCACACCCAUUCAAAGUACCUUUUUAAAUUACUGAAAAUAAUCUAUCCAGGGAAGAAUCAAUUUGAAGUUGUAA